CUGCAGAUCCAGUUGUUGUUGAAUACCCGGUAAGAGUUACCGGUAACAAAGUCUGAUCUGCAGGAGUUACUAAAGUAUGCUACAACGGACAAUGAUGACAAGACCGAUGAUUCACUUGAUAAAAUGGAACAUCUGUGGUUGCUUCCCUACGUGAUCGGUUCGCAUCAGAAGCAGUUGAGAUCUUUGAUAAGAAACAAGGUAGAAUACAGUAGAAAAUGCCAGGAACUACCGGCGAAACAUGAAUUUAAGAUGGUGUUUACUUUGUUGUAGCUGUGAAAAAGGAGUUAAAUUCAAGGAUAGAGUGGUGGAAAGAAAAGCAAGCUGAAAUUGAAAAUGAAUUUAAAUUUGUGUACAAAGCUCAGGACAAAAUGCCAAAAGGACAUGUCAGCCAAAAAGCAGGGAUACUCCUGUCGAUCGGUUCAGCGGCUUAACUUCUUCCACCACUUUCCGCGAGAAAGGUUUCGCUCGUAUGGCAAAGUCAAGGAAGCCAUUGCUGACAGCAAAAUUCUGGAAUACGUUGUUAGGCUAGCGGUCACCUUUAGCAAAAUGGAAGUCACGAUUUGGUCGAAUGUUACCAUCUUGCAAGAUACACUUAGUAACAGCGACAAAUGGAAAAUAGUAAGAGCGGUUGAGAAAAUGGAUCAAGUGGUCAAAGUGUUUUGAAGUAACUGCAGAAUAACUUGCCAUUCGAAGCUAUAAAAUAAAAUCGGGACACUUGGCUACGCAGUUAGUGCACGCUCUUUCUUUAUUUCAUGUUUUUAAAAGGAGAAAUAGCGGCUACGUGGCUACGAGGCUAAGCAGAAAGGGAACUGUGAGACAGUGUGAGAACGAAUUUCAAAACGCUUAGAUUUCAGUUGUAUUAAUUGCACGUAUUGUAGGUUUCACGAAACAGUUUUGAUUAUGUCUCAUGUAGUAGUGAGUUUUGUUUAUUUGAAAUAUUUUGAAACUGCUCAUUUCUUAAUAAUAAAGGUAUAUUGAUGUG